rnacentral:lncRNA from 1 species
CCAUAACGAGGAAUGAAAUACACCUGCUGUGACACAGACAAACCUUGAAAACAUUACGCCAGGUGAAAGAAGCCAGACAAAAGAGACUACAUAUUCUGUGAUUCCAUUAGUAUGAAGUGUCCAGAAUAGGCAAAUACCUAGAGAUGACCGGAGUUUGGGGGGGCCGAGGAAAUGUGGAGUAACUGCUUAAUGGGUAGGGGCUUUCCUUUGGGGGUGAUGAAAAAGUUCUGGAACUAAGUGAUAUGGUUAAAUUGUAGAUGUAUUUAAUGCCACUAAAUUGGGUACUUUAAAAUGGUUAGAGUGGUUAAGUUUUGUAUCUAUUUUAUCAUAAUUUUUAAUAAAAAAAAGGAGAAAGAAGAGGGGAGCUCAUCACCUGGCUGGUUUUCCAUCCCUCUCCUGUCAGUCUGCUCAUCUCCACCUUGUGAUCAGUAUGAAAGGUCCGUGACCACGCUGGGGUCUUCGACACUCCCAUGCGCACAGGUACACCCAGUUUUCUGUCCCCUUCAUCAGAGGGUAGAGAUGGGUGGAGGGUCUCUGGCCAGCGUCUCCAGAGCCUAUUACAGAAAACCCUCAUGAAUGAGGCGGGGCCACCCCUGUCCCUCAUCCUGGCUCUAGGGAAGCAAGCCCUUUUGGAAGGCGGGGACCUUCUCCAGGCGCCAGGUCACCUCAUGUGCUCCAGGCUGCUUGCCCCUUCUCCGGCUCUCAUUUCUUUUCCCCAAGGGUCUCAGAGCUUCUCUGCUUCACUUGCUCACAGCUCUUUGAGUUGAAUAAUUGUCUCUACUUUCCUCACAAUCAGAAACACUCCCUUUGAGUCGC